GGCAACGACCACCCAGGGCCGGAAAGUUGGUCAAACCCGGUCAUUUAGAGGAAGUAAAAGUCGUAACAAGGUCUCCGUAGGUGAACCUGCGGAGGGAUCAUU
rnacentral:rRNA from 1 species